UACGGAGGGUGCAAGCGUUGUCCGGAUUUAUUGGGUUUAAAGGGUGCGUAGGCGGCUUUUUAAGUCAGUGGUGAAAUCCAGCAGCUUAACUGUUGAAUUGCCAUUGAUACUGGAGAGCUUGAGUACAGACGAGGUAGGCGGAAUUUAUGGUGUAGCGGUGAAAUGCAUAGAUAUCUGGAGGAACACCGGUGGCGAAGGCGGCGUUCUGGACUGCAACUGACACUGAGAGACGAAAGCCAGGGGAGCAAACGGG
rnacentral:rRNA from 1 species